CCUGGGCAACGGCGCCACCUGGUGGGCAGCGCCCUCCGCAAACGUCCGCCUUCCUCCGCCAGGGUGCUGAACAGUCCCUGCGGCCUGAUGGAGAUGGGGUGCCCAGAACGGGUUCGGGCCAGGGAAGGUGUUAAAUGGAGCUUUCCUACCCCGAUGUCAUCAUCAUUUGUUGCGUGUGUGGGAGCCAUGGAAUUCUUUCUUGAGUUCAGUCUUCAGGACAUGGGGCACCAGACUCGAGGAGCUGCUUCUGAAGAAGCACCCGGAUCGACCUCCUUGGGGAAUGUGAUGCAGGACAUUGCAACUCUGCUGCUGCACCCAACUGUGUCUGUCCCACUGUUCUUCUGAAGGCACAUCUAGUCUCCAAAGGACCAGUUUAGAGAUGAUGAUUAAGCCCAGACUCGAAGGGCAGGGAGGGCCCACGUGAAUCCCACUGCGGAGCAGGACAAACGUAGAGCCAGUCAAGCCGCCUUUCUGAGAAAGCACUUAAAGUCCAGCUCCAGGAGCCGAUGUCAGCCUUCUGGCCCCUCCCCUGCCAGGAAGGACGCAGGUGGGGCGCCCGCGCCCGGAUCGCCAGGGGCUGGCCCCCGAAACCACGACGGCGUGCUGAAGGAAGCCGGGGCGGAUGGGCCGCACGUUUGAAAACAUACAUUCUUUGAUUCCAGAUGGGAUGUGCCUUCCCAUCAGG